rnacentral:rRNA from 1 species
AUUGAACGCUGGCGGCAUGCCUUACACAUGCAAGUCGAACGGCAGCACGGGUGCUUGCACCUGGUGGCGAGUGGCGAACGGGUGAGUAAUACAUCGGAACGUACCUUAUCGUGGGGGAUAACGCAGCGAAAGUUGCGCUAAUACCGCAUACGCCCUGAGGGGGAAAGCGGGGGACCGUAAGGCCUCGCGCGAUGAGAGCGGCCGGUGGCGGAUUAGCUUGUUGGUGAGGUAAAAGCUCACCAAGGCGAUGAUCAGUAGCUGGUCUGAGAGGACGAUCAGCCACACUGGGACUGAGACACGGCCCAGACUCCUACGGGAGGCAGCAGUGGGGAAUUUUGGACAAUGGGGGCAACCCUGAUCGAGCAAUGCCGCGUGAGUGAAGAAGGCCUUCGGGUUGUAAAGCUCUUUUGUCAGGGAAGAAACAGCAGCUCUAACACAGUCUGCGAAUGACGGUACCUGAAGAAUAAGCACCGGCUAACUACGUGCCAGCAGCCGCGGUAA